CUUCAGAGUGUAACUGAAACGCGCUCUUCUCGGAUCUCAAGCCGCUGGGUUCUCGACCGGAAGUCACGCCAUCUGCUCUCGCGUUGUCCAGUUUAACGCGGACACAGAUUUUGGGACUUCUCGGUCUCCAUACUCCUGUGAGCCAAUUCCGAGAUUUGCGGUCAGCAACCUGGAGAACCGUGGAGCCGAUGAUCUAAUUUCCGGUCGGAAACGCAGCAGGGUUGAGAUCUGAGAAGAACCGUUUAUUCAGUUCCACUCUGAAGUUUUUACUUCUUCUCAGUCUACAUAAUUUGGCUGAGUCCUCAAAUAAAAAAUUGAUGCUCACAACCAGAAGGACCCACAACGAGAAUAUACAACUAUGUACUAAGGGGCUUUGGGGAGAAGAGGAAGAAAAAAAAUUAAUGUAGAGUCCUAUCUAUGCCCAUGGAGCCUGGUUUUGUUCACUCGUCUACAAAGUCUGGUCUCACCACCUCUAGAAAAUAGUAGAAAUUACCAUAUCAAAGUCAUGCUUUCUCAAAUAAUUCUAAUUCUGUUUCCCUUGAAACUAAUAUGCAGGAAAAGCAAUUUUAUUAUGGAAUAGCAUGGUCAAUUUAGUAUGGGACUGCAACCAAUUAAGGAAAGAAGGUUUUUGCUGAUUAAUUAAAAUUAACAGAAAUUAUUCAAAUACUGUGUGGAUGAAUUAUAUAAACACCCCUACCCACCCACCUCCACAAGUGCCUGAAGUUACGCAACACUAUCUGGUGAUUUGAAGAGCAAAGGCCUUCAUUUGUUAGAGGCGAAGAAGGUGAGCAGAAUAAACAUUAACUUAUUCUAACUGGCCAAGUCUGCAGGAGAUGCAAUAGGUCUGAGAGACUGAAAUAGGAGUAGAACCACCACCUAGAGAGAAUUGUGAUGCUCAACAUUACAUAACUCCUUAGAGCUAGAUCUGGAACUAGAGUUUUUUCAAGUUGUACUUUUAUCUCAGACAAAUAAAUAUUGAAAUUAUUUAAUUCAUUACUUUGUCUUUAUCUCUUUUAAGAUCCAGUAUGCAGUAAACAUUCAAAUUUGUAUAAAAGUGUGGUACACAAAUUUCCCUGAAAAUCUUUAGAAUGUCUCAAGUUCUA
rnacentral:lncRNA from 1 species